AAAUGUAUCGCGCAUGUCGGUGUAGAGGAGACGUUUUGUUGGUGCUGCGUUAUAGAAAACAUGAAAUGGAAAAAAUAUUGUGUGUUCGCCUGCAUUUUUGGAUUUUUGUUUGUCAUCAUGGAGGUGCAUUAUAUUUCUGGUAGAUUUAAGACUAAGUUGCAGACAGGUCAUGUGCCUAUGACAUUGGUGCUUGGUUACAUGAGAAGCGGGUCAUCCCUAACUGCUGACAUCAUUCGCGUUAACCAUGGCGAUUUUUAUAUUUUUGAACCACUCCAUGGAUUGAUAGAAUUUUCAGUAAAACAAAACAGAUCUAUUAGUUUUCUAAAUGGAACAGAACAAAGGAUCUACAUGAUUUAUACUACAUUGUCCAGAUACAUAUAGCUAUAUUAUGACUCCAUCCAGCUGAUUAUAUCAUAAAUGUGUUCCUCAGGUUAUCAUAUAAUGAUACAGACAUUGAAAAACUAAAGACAGAAAUGAUGCUGAACUGGUUUACCUGUAACUUCCAGGACAUCGACUUAAACAGCUUGUACAAUGAAUUCAUUCAUAUUUACACCCCGGAGCACGAUUUGUAUUUUAACUGCACCCGACAAGAUCGUUCAAAUGAUUCCUCUCUAGCUAUGAAUAUAGCUCCAUGCAUAUCAAUUUUACAAAAGGCUUGUGUUGAAGCUAAUUCAAGGACGUACAAAACUAUACGUUUGCAUACAGCUUCGGUCGGUUAUUUGCUUAAAAGGCUGCCGUCACUCAAAGUCAUUCACUUGGUUCGAGACCCGAGAGCAAUCUUUCACUCACAACUAAUCGGUAACCUUACUCAAUCUAACAGAAACCAUUUUCAAAGUUUUUCACGACUUUUUUGUGGCAAGAUGUUAGAAGAUAUUCGUAACGUGAAAUUGUUAACUGUUAAAUAUCAAGGACGUAUUCAGAGACUUGUGUAUGAAAAUCUUGCAUUGAACCCAAUAGAGGUAUCUAAGAGUAUAUACAAUUUCUUACGUGCACAGUUUACGAUAAAAGUAAAAGAAUAUGUUGACAGUUUGACUACUGGGCCAAUUGUACGAUGUGAAUACUGCACUAGAAGAGGAAACUCAACGUAUAACGCAUUUAAAUGGAUGCAAAAUAUUACUUCGAUGUAUCUUCACAUAAUUGACAAAAACUGUAGAGAAGUAUACAGAGAAGUUGGUUAUUCCGGAAAUAUAUCCCUGUAUAAUGAGUCGUGGAAUCCAAACAUAUAUCAAUUAAAAGCAACACUGUAAAAGUUUUAAAUUCAGAAUCAAAUAUUGAGAUUGUGCAAUAAAUAUACGCAUGUUUG
rnacentral:misc_RNA from 1 species